rnacentral:lncRNA from 10 species
UUUCUCUUCUAGGUUCAGAAGAGCCACAUUUUGCCGUUCCGACUCUAAAGCAACUACAUUUCUCUACAGAGCACAGAACUGUAAGAAAUGGUCAAAUAUCACCAAGUGCACAAGACUCAAGACUGGCAUAGUAGAAGACAAAGGUGGAUAUAUGGGUUAUUCAAUCAACCUCCUAAUAUGGGCAUAAACUCCAGUGGCUUGGACUCUGAAGCAUGAUUCCUCAAAAUAAAGCAAACAGUUCCUCAUGACUUUAUAGAGUGAUUAAGCCAUUGGAAAUGCGUUGCACAAAAAGCGCCAUGCAGCACAACAUAGAAAAGAGCUCCAGUUAAUGUAACAUGUGGAGAAAGACAGUGUGGGUAUGCACUUAACUGUUUGGAGAAGCUCCUUAACUUUAAAAUCACGUAUUGAAACUAGGAUAUGUAAAAACUUCGAAUGAACUUCAAAUGAAGAAUAAUGACAUAAAUUAAUUAGGGCUGGAUAAAGAAUAAAAUACCACUUAUUUAAAAUGCAUGUACUAAGAAUUCAGAGGAGCAGAUAGGUUACACAUCUGAGGUGUGUUUCUUCAGGUUUCAAGAAAGCACUCUAUUUAGAAAUCAGUAGCAUGUUUUGGUUACAUUUGCAGAAUGGCAAUCCACUGUUUUCUUUUUUAAUUUGAUUGUGAUUCUAAUGUUUGCUAUGUCAAAGAGACUCUCAAGUGUUUUAAAAAUCCUUUUAUACAAACGUUUCUUUAUUUGGCUCUUAAUGUAGACCCAAUCAAACGAAAGAGCACUGAAUUUUGGGAAAGAAAAAAUUAAAAUAGAAUGUCAGUCUAAAUUAUUUUAAAUCUGUUGUGCUUAUCAAAUAUUUUUUAUUGAUUUAUAUGAUUUUUAGGCAUCAAUAUGGCAUUUCACAUGUAUACUACUGUUGAAAUUUUAUAUUAUAUUGCAACAUACUUGCAUAUUAUUUUAAUAAUAUGAGGAAAGAAUAAGACAGGUGAUUUACUAUGAGUUAGUUUUCUUAUUUUGUGUAAAGAGGAACUUUACGAAGGCCAAUUUUUUUCCACAGAAACUUCUUCCUUUAAGUAGAUACAGCUUGUCUGAAG